UUGGAGGGCAAGUCUGGUGCCAGCAGCCGCGGUAAUUCCAGCUCCAAUAGCGUAUAUUAAAGUUGCUGCAGUUAAAAAGCUCGUAGUUGAAUUUCGGGACCAUCAUGUCGGUCGUGCCUCGGUACGUACUGGUAUUGUUGGUUUCUCCCUUCUGACGAACCAUGAUGUCAUUUAUUUGGUGUUGUGGGGAAUCAGGACUGUUACUUUGAAAAAAUUAGAGUGUUUAAAGCAGGCUCACGCUUGAAUACAUUAGCAUGGAAUAAUGAAAUAGGACGUUUGAUUCUAUUUUGUUGGUUUCUAGGAUCGACGUAAUGAUUAAUAGGGAUAGUUGGGGGCAUUAGUAUUCAAUUGUCAGAGGUGAAAUUCUUGGAUUUAUUGAAGACUAACUACUGCGAAAGCAUUUGCCAAGGAUGUUUUCAUUAAUCAAGAACGAAAGUUAGGGGAUCGAAGACGAUCAGAUACCGUCGUAGUCUUAACCAUAAACUAUGCCAACUAGGGAUCGGAUGAUGUUAAUUUUUUAAUGACUCAUUCGGCGCCUUACGGGAAAC
rnacentral:rRNA from 1 species